GGUCAGGAUGAAGUUCCGGUAAAACGGAAUGGAGGUCCGAACGCAUUUACGUUGAAAAGUGAUGCGAUGAACUGAGGGGAGGAGUAAAAGUCUAAUCAAACUCGGAGAUAGCUGGUUCUCCCCGAAAUAGCUUUAGGGCUAGCCUUAUGCAACCGUGUAGUAGGGGUAGAGAUACUGAUUGAGUAUUGGGGCCCACCAGGCUACCGAGCACAAUCAAACUCCGAAUACUACUGCAUUUGACAUAGGAGUCAGACUAUGGGGGAUAAGCUCCGUAGUCGAGAGGGAAACAGCCCAGACCAUUAGUUAAGGUCCCUAAAAUGAGCUAAGUGAAAAAGGAAGUGAAAGUGCUAAGACAGCUAGGAUGUUGGCUUAGAAGCAGCAAUCAUUUAAAAAGUGCGUAAUAGCUUACUAGCCGAGUACUUUUGUGNNNNNNNNNNAUCCUAAUCUUUUAGGAUGGUAGGGGAGCGUUCUAUGAUAGGUUGAAGCCUUACAAAAAUGAGAGGUGGACGAAAUAGAAGUGAGAAUGCCGGUAUAAGUAGCGAUAAUAUAAGUGAGAAUCUUAUUCGCCGAAAGCCUAAGGUUUCCUGGGGAAGGCAAAUCCGCCCAGGGUUAGCCGGUACCUAAGUCGAGGUCGAAAGGCGUAGACGAUGGACAACAGGUUAAUAUUCCUGUGCUGCUAUUUAACGUUUGAGCUUGGGAGGACGUGGACACAACGAU
rnacentral:rRNA from 1 species